UACGGGGGGAGCAAGCGUUGUUCGGAUUUACUGGGCGUAAAGGGCGCGUAGGCGGCCAGCACAAGUCAGUUGUGAAAUCUCCGAGCUUAACUCGGAAAGGUCAACUGAUACUGUGCGGCUAGAGUGCAGAAGGGGGCAACUGGAAUUCUUGGUGUAGCGGUGAAAUGCGUAGAUAUCAAGAGGAACACCUGCGGCGAAGGCGGGUUGCUGGGCUGACACUGACGCUGAGGCGCGAAAGCCCAGGGGAGCGAACGGG
rnacentral:rRNA from 1 species